rnacentral:tRNA from 1 species
GGCUUGUUGGUCUAGUGGUACGAUUCCUGUUUCGGGUGCAGGAGGUCCCGGGUUCGAACCCUGCACAAGCCC